GACACCUGCUGUCGGCCCUGCCGCGGGAGCCGCCCGAGCAUCCCGGGUUCAGUCAGCGACACUCGUGCCGGGGCUGGGAGGCUUUUCAUAGAACGGGCUCCGGAGACGGGAGGAAAAGGCAAAACCACCUCUGCGAAGGCGCGCGGCAGCCGAGCAGUGAGGUUUGUGCAGCCGCGGAGGGUGAAGACACAGGACAAAGCAGCAGGCUUUUAUGUGUGUGAAGAUGGCCGAGUCCUGACAUCACCUUGUGGUGUCUGUAGCUGCUCUCCAUCCAGAGCUGACAUCUCCCCACCAUGCCAGCAGAGCCAGGCUCUUGGAGCUCUGCUGCAGGAGAGGCACAGGAAUUUUCUAGAAAAUCUUACAGCUGAGAGUGCCCAAAGCCAUUUGAUAACAAUUAUCUUAAGUGCUCAGUAAAAGCCUUGAAUUUGCCAAGUCA